GAGAACUUAAGCCAAAAAAAUGGAGAGAAAAUCGGCUAAGAGGGAGAAAAAUUAACCCUUCAAAUUUCAUCCCCAAAAAUUAUAAUUUUCUAGUAUUCCUACUAAAUCAAGGGUCCUCUAUAACAUGGUAAAUUUAUUUUGGAAGAUAGAAGGCUUGUUUGGUUGAUUUGGGGCUUUGAUUAAGUGAAGAAGUUAGAAGAAAAAAAGAUUUUGGAGGAAACGGGAAUUGAAUUUGGACAACCGUAAAACGUCAAAAAGUUUCUCACUACUCCACUCGUGGAUGCCUCAAUGCUUCUUUCACUGAGCCUGGGCCAGGAUAUGUUUUCGUGCGUAUUUCUCUGCAUUGUUCGCCGUGUCCCGACGUGAGGGGGCAGGUAUGACAUGUACAUGGGGUGGUAAAUGUUAUGCCACGGAGUUAUGCUGUGCCAUGUACAUAUAUGUUUGUUAUAUGAUAUGAUUUGAUAUGGCCAUCUGAUAUGAUAUGAUUUGUUACGGAGAUAUUCCCUACUCUGGUGUUAUGAUGUGCUGUGGCGCCAAUGACAGGAGGGUGACCACGUUUUGUUCACCGAGUCCCAUAAAAUGGGGCCGGAUACGGCAUAUGUAUUUGCAUAUAUGAUUUGGGAUUACGAAAAGUAUUUUGAAAUUCUAAACAUUUAUUUUAUUUUUUGCACAUAUUAUUCAGAUUAUGAUUUUAUUUAUUACAAUUCAUGCUUUACAUAUUCGGUACAUUUUUCGUACUGACCCCCUUUCUUCGGGGGGGCUGCGUUACAUGC